UCAUUUGGUUAAUGUAGUUCUGAUAUGACCACAGAGGAAAAAUGCCAUUUUCCUCUUACCAUAUCAAGGAAGGACACAGACCAUCAGUCUAAUUUCUGUUUAUGUAAACACUGAUCACUUGGUUGAGGUAGUGUCUGUGCUUUUCUCCCCCUUAAAGGCAUUAUUUUCCCUCCUCUUUUCAAUACUGUACUUUAUGGAAGACUGAAGGAAUUGACAGUUAUAUUUCCUCUUCCUAAGGGCAGAAUGUUUAAGUAAAUUACUUGGAAUUCAUCUGUACUGGGAGUUUGUUUAUUUCUUUAUUCAGUCAGUUAUUUAUAGAUAUGGAAUCAUGUACACAUUGACAUGGAAUCUUGGACAUUAAUUAAAACUUUGGCUUAUAAUCUAUUUUGUUUAUUUAUUUAUUAUCUUAAAUUGUUCCAGCUUUGGCCAUAGGGAGCACUUUAACUCCUGUGUGCAGUUGACACAGCUCUAAUAUAACUGGGGGGGUGUAAAUUUUUAAUCACUUCUUUACUUUCAUGCACUAUGGGAUGCUCAGGUUCAUCUUGUGUUAUUUCUUCCCUAGUCCUAGAAUCAGCCAUUUCUGCAGAGUGCUUUAGUUCCUUCUCCUGAAGAAUGGUGUUAUAUAAACCACCGUCUGGUAACUGGGCAUCGUAUCAUAUUUUCUUAAGUAAAACAAAAAGACUAAUAAUUCUUGAAUUUCUACAAUACUUGGCACAAGAGGCCAUUGAUCGGUGAUGAAGAUAAAUCUACAGUGGAGUAGUUAAAGAAGACACCAGUUUAUAUAACUAUUGAUCAUUUGCUAUGUGCACUUCUGGCACAAGGACAAAGUCUGUGGAAAAAAGGAUUGGAGUAGUGAAUUGGAAAAUUAGAAGGAAAUCCAGUCUCUUCCAGGCUUUCUCUCCAAGAGUUUCAGGCAAGUGCUCUACCCCUGAGCUACACCUCUACCCUCCAAGAGAUUUAAUAUGCAUUUACCCAGGAAUUUAAUGUGAUCCUUCACUUGCCACUGUCACUUGCCAAGCUAGACCCACGUGGCUCCUCUUCUUCGUGUUCCCAACAACGUCAGUAAGUGUUCUUUACCGUUUUCUCCUGGUCACAUUCCUUAAGCCAUUGCUGUUGCCACCACUCCGGCACUGAUAUGAGAACAGACACUGGUCCUGCCCUUUCUCUGCAUGUCUAACAUGAAUAUGUCACUUCAAACUGGAACAGGCCUUUAAUUUCCUGUCACACAAUUAAAGAUGAAGUUAUAAACACUUGACAAUAAUUUACUGAGGUCUUAAAACUAAGACAGACUAUAAAUCACAGCAAAUUAAAAUUAUUAUAACAGAAGGCUGCUUUUGGAGUGUACAAGUCCAGGCCCACUAUUCGGGAAUCCCAGUGGUGGGAACCUCCUGGCCUGAUUUCUGGGCUGUCUCUGCUAUAUGUGGGGUCAGGUUACUCUUAUCACCUGCAGUGCUUGUGAGUCAUUUUUAUGAGAGUCCGUGCAUAAGCUUCAGUUCGUGAAGGAGUCCUUUUACUUUAGUUUAAGACUGAGUUUCCCAGACAGUAUUUCCUUUCUUUUACUAAGAAAGGGUUCAAAACUUGGGAUACGAAAGGGUGACCAUAUGUCCUUUCUGAGGUAUACCAGAGUGCUGUCUAAGAGAUCUUCCCCAAGCUUGUCAGAUUCCUUAAGAUUCUUUUUUAUUUGCCUCACUAUUUACUAUUGAUAAAGUUCCACACUCUUGCGCA